GGAAACCGGUGAGACUCCGGUGCGGUCGCGCCACUGUGAACCAGCCCCACCCACGGGGCCGGUGAGUCAGGACGC
rnacentral:ncRNA from 1 species